AUUGCUAUGGUGAAAUAGGUAGACACACAGGCUUGAGGUGCCUGGGGGAUACCCCGAAGGGGCAACCAUCCCGGUUCAAUUCCGGGUAGCAAUA
rnacentral:tRNA from 1 species